GUGACAGAGUCUUUUCUUUACAAAAAGAAAAACUGCUAGAAAUUCAUGGCUAUGUUCAGAAUCCUUUUUGGAAAGAUGUAUUACUUUGCUUACAUACUGCAAAGUCUUAUACUAAGGCUUGUACAAAUGAUAUAUUAUCGCUAGAUAUUUUAAAUUUUGUGCCAAUUUCAGAUUACACUAUUUAUAUGCAAUGGAAGGACUUU
rnacentral:lncRNA from 1 species